AUGAGGACCCCUACAGGUUGGAGGCUGAUUUUCAGGAAAAUUAAUGAAACCUUCGUGCUGUUUACUGCGGUUUGUAUUGUAAAUUUAAUGAGAGUUUAAAAAAUAAAUGUUAUUCCGUUACAAGACGAUGGACGAGUUCGAGAAGGACUGCUAAAACGUAUCAUUAUUUUAUUUUGACAUCUAUAGACGUCAAUGUUGAGUUAUUAAUUGAAAAAAUAAGACUCUUGUUUAUUCCGUGCUGACCCCAAUAGGCCGGAGGAUAAUAUCAGCGAUAUUUUUAAAAUUUCGUUAACAGUGAUUUUGUUACAUCGAUUAUUACUACAGGUGUACCAAGCAAGUCACCGAACCCAUCAAUACUCUUAUUAAGUAAGACUUUUGGACAUCAGUAAAAAAUACAGUGCAUUUGAGGUACUUUGCUUCUCUGGGCUUCUUUGCAGUUUCCCUGACUAAUGUCGCUCUGACAUCACAUGUGAUGAAGACCAUGGAGCAGCUGCUGCUUCACCACCUGAGGCCACAGGU